rnacentral:rRNA from 1 species
UACGAAGGGGGCUAGCGUUGCUCGGAAUCACUGGGCGUAAAGCGCACGUAGGCGGAUUGCUAAGUCAGGGGUGAAAUCCUGGAGCUCAACUCCAGAACUGCCUUUGAUACUGGGAAGCUUGAGUCCGGAAGAGGUGAGUGGAACUCCGAGUGUAGCGGUGAAAUGCGUAGAUAUCGGGAGGAACACCGGUGGCGAAGGCGGUUCUCUGGGCAUGUUCUGACGCUGAGGAGCGAAAGUGUGGGGAGCGAACAGG